rnacentral:rRNA from 1 species
AAUCAACGCUGGCGGCGUGCCUAACACAUGCAAGUCGAACGAGAAAGUGGAGCAAUCCAUGAGUAAAGUGGCGACCGGGUGAGUAACACGUGACUAACCUACCUUCGAGUGGGGGAUAACCUCGGGAAACCGGGGCUAAUACCGCAUAACAUCUUUGGAGUGGAAAUUUCGGAGAUCAAAGGAGCAAUUCGCUGGAAGAGGGGGUCGCGGCUGAUUAGCUAGUUGGCGGGGUAACGGCCCACCAAGGCUAGAUCGGUAGCCGGCCUGAGAGGGCGCACGGCCACACUGGAACUGAAACACGGUCCAGACUCCUACGGGAGGCAGCAGUGGGGAAUUUUGCGCAAUGGGGGAAACCCUGACGCAGCAACGCCGCGUGGAGGAUGAAGUCCCUUGGGACGUAAACUCCUUUCGACCCGGACGAUAAUGACGGUACGGGUGGAAGAAGCCCCGGCUAACUUCGUGCCAGCAGCCGCAGUAAU